AUUGAACGCUGGCGGCAUGCCUUACACAUGCAAGUCGAACGGCAGCACGGACUUCGGUCUGGUGGCGAGAGGCGAACGGGUGAGUAAUGUAUCGGAACGUACCUUUCAGUGGGGGAUAACUAUCCGAAAGGAUAGCUAAUACCGCAUAUUCUGUGAGCAGGAAAGCAGGGGAUCGCAAGACCUUGCGCUGAUUGAGCGGCCGAUAUCAGAUUAGCUAGUUGGUGGGGUAAAGGCCUACCAAGGCUACGAUCUGUAGCGGGUCUGAGAGGAUGAUCCGCCACACUGGAACUGAGACACGGUCCAGACUCCUACGGGAGGCAGCAGUGGGGAAUUUUGGACAAUGGGGGCAACCCUGAUUCAGCCAUGCCGCGUGAGUGAAGAAGGCCUUCGGGUUGUAAAGCUCUUUCGUCCGGGAAGAAAUCGCAUCAGCUAAUACCUGGUGUGGAUGACGGUACCGGAAUAAGAAGCACCGGCUAACUACGUGCCAGCCGCCGCAGUAAUAC
rnacentral:rRNA from 1 species